CUUUUGAUUUGCGAGCACGAUCUCCAGUAUAGCUCAGUGGUUGCCCCACUGAGCUAUAAUAUAUCUGGAGGAAGUGCUCCUAUCUCUCUUCAGUCAAGCAAGUGAAGCCAAAAACAUGGCGGAUUUUCACGUUUGCUGACGCCAGAAUGACGCCACUGGUCCCAAAUCCUCGUGGUAAUUACCACUGAGCAAGGCUCAUUUUGAGCCCGCUACCACUUUCUCAUCCCCCUGAUUUUCACAAAAAUAUUUUAGCUUUUUGUUUUGAAGUUUGCCUCGGUGUUUGCCUUCUCUUCGACAUAUUUUUAACAUUUGUUUCGAGUUGCACAAGUGGUAAGAAUCAUCCUGGCUAGUGAAAGACAGGGAACGAAUAUUCAAACCUCAAGAAAUUUUGGAAAGACGUUAUUUGUAAAGGUAAAAAAAUACUGUUUAUAUGU